UGGGGAAUAUUGCGCAAUGGGGGAAACCCUGACGCAGCAACGCCGCGUGAUUGAAGAAGGCCUUCGGGUUGUAAAGAUCUUUAAUCGGGGACGAAACAUGACGGUACCCGAAGAAUAAGCUCCGGCUAACUACGUGCCAGCAGCCGCGGUAAUACGUAGGGAGCAAGCGUUAUCCGGAUUUACUGGGUGUAAAGGGCGUGUAGGCGGGCUUGCAAGUCAGAAGUGAAAUCUGGGGGCUUAACCCCCAAACUGCUUUUGAAACUGCGGGUCUUGAGUGAUGGAGAGGCAGGCGGAAUUCCCAGUGUAGCGGUGAAAUGCAUAGAUAUUGGGAGGAACACCAGUGGCGAAGGCGGCCUGCUGGACAUUAACUGACGCUGAGGCGCGAAAGCGUGGGGAGCAAACAGGAUUAGAUACC
rnacentral:rRNA from 1 species